UUACUCUAGAUGAAACCACCAUCAUGAUCAUUUUAUACAUCUCUUGCCUGAUCCCUAUCCUGGGAAUAAUCCUGUUGGCUUUGUUAAAAAGCAGAGUCUGCACAAGGACUUAUCAGGCAAAGACAGUUUUACCGGCUCAUUUAUCUGAAAAACUCAUGAUACCUCAGGCAACCAUGGAGCACCAACUGUGUCGAUAAAGCUCUUACAGUUUCUUCUCAUUUGGCAGUCUAUACUGUGAAAGUUCUCCCGAGGAAGAAAAAUAGAAAGAAGAAAAAUCCAUAACACACAUCUGCUUCUUUAGUAAACCCUAGGCAAUUGACCACAUUGAAGCUACUUAAGUCGACCUGCUUCAGACUGAGACAGAGCAUAACAAACUAUUCCAGAAAUAUAUAAAAACAGAACUAAAUGUUAUCUGUAUAAAAAAGUACAAAAAUCAUAUUUCUAAUCCAGUGUUUAUUGAGAUAACAUGAAUGUUUUUGGGAUUAUUGCUAUAAUUACAUUUUUUUUAAAAAAAAGCUACACAGUGGUCCUAAAUAAGUUAAUCCUCCUAUGUGAGUUGUCACAUCCACUAGGCAUAUAUACAAGUAUAUAAAAGAACAUGGUAAAAACAGGGAUUUGUACCUUUACGGAAAAUAUGACAGGGUUUGACAGUAAGAAAAGAGAUAGCAUACGGAAAUUGGUGGUAUCAGAAAAUCUUGCAAAAUGAGAGACUGUGGAGCAAUGAAAUGACAAGAGACCAAUCUGAAGCAUUUUGGAUGUCAUUUCUCUUUCAUACCUAUGAUAUGAACAUUUGUAUCCCCAAAGAAUCAACUAAGGUCUGGAGAAGGAUCUACUCGCAAAUGAGUUGUACAUGUAACCCACUGAACUGUAAUCUUGUAUCCUCAUAGCUGCAACACUAAUUUAAAUUGUUCCUUCUGUAUGCAAAAUGAUCUCUAGUACCUUGAUUAAUAUUUCUUGUCUUGGGGAACAAGGAGGUGCUAGAGGACUGGAGAAGGGCAAACAUUUCUUACUUCAAAAAG
rnacentral:lncRNA from 11 species